rnacentral:rRNA from 1 species
GGGGAAGAAAAGCCUCGACCUAAUACGUCGGGGUCUUGACGUAACCCAUAGAAGAAGCACCGGCUAACUCUGUGCCAGCAGCCGCGGUAAUACAGAGGGUGCGAGCGUUAAUCGGAAUUACUGGGCGUAAAGCGCGCGUAGGCGGCUUUGCAAGUCGGGUGUGAAAUCCCCAGGCUUAACCUGGGAACUGCAUUCGAGACUGCAUUGCUAGAGUAUGGGAGAGGGAAGUGGAAUUUCCGGUGUAGCGGUGAAAUGCGUAGAUAUCGGAAGGAACAUCAGUGGCGAAAGCGACUUCCUGGACCAAUACUGACGCUCAUGUGCGAAAGCGUGGGGAGCAAACAGGAUUAGAUACCCUGGUAGUCCACGCCAUAAACGAUGAGAACUGGAUGUCGGGAGGGUCUGCCUCUCGGUGUCGUAGCUAACGCGUUAAGUUCUCCGCCUGGGGAGUACGGCCGCAAGGUUGAAACUCAAAUGAAUUGACGGGGACCCGCACAAGCGGUGGAGCAUGUGGUUUAAUUCGAUGCAACGCGAAGAACCUUACCUGGUCUUGACAUCCUGGGAACCCUGCAGAGAUGUGGGGGUGCCUUCGGGAACCCAGAGACAGGUGCUGCAUGGCUGUC